AUAUCUUAGUCCUUAGCAAGAUUUUUUUUUAAAAUGGGGAUUUUACAAUUUCCUUUACUUGUAAUGGCAUUAGGCUUUUAUGGUGUUCAGGCUCAAAUAACACUGACAGAAUCAGAUCCUGUAACCCUACAGCCAGGACAGUCACAUAAAUUGUCAUGUAAAGCCUCAGGAUUUACAUUCAGUAGCUUCGCCAUGACCUGGGUCCGUCAGCCUCCUGGUAAAGGACUGGAAUGGGUGGCAGCAAUAUACAGCAGUGGUAGCCAGUAUUAUGCAUCAUCUGUGCAGGGAAGAUUCACCAUCAGCAGAGACAAUUCUAACAACAUGCUGUACUUAACCAUGAACAACCUACAGACUGCAGACACAGCCGUGUAUUACUGUGCUAAAGAUACACAGUGA